GGAUGUGAGGGCGAUCUGGCUGCGACACUGUCACCCCGUUGAUCACCAGAGUUGAUUCUGCUCGGCCGAUCUGGCUGGCUCGGCGGGCAUCCCCCGCCUCCCUUACCACUCCAUGUGCGUUCCUCCUGAAGCUGCGCGCUCAGUGGAGGAGGACGACCAUCCUUGAUGGAUGAGGACUGGUCUUCAGUCAAGGGUAUACAAAUAGAUGUGGUCCCCUGCUGGAAACUCCAAACAAGCUCUCAAGAGUAAAGAAAAAUGAUAUAGUUUAGAAUUUAUAUCUACAUAAAGAAUAGCAUUAGAGAAGGAAUAAAGGAAAAAUAUAAUUCUUUUAUUU
rnacentral:snRNA from 1 species